UACAGAGGGGGCAAGCGUUGUUCGGAAUUACUGGGCGUAAAGGGCGCGUAGGCGGCCCGCUAAGUCGAACGUGAAAUCCCCGGGCUCAACCCGGGAACUGCGUCCGAUACUGGCAGGCUUGAAUCCGGGAGAGGGAUGCGGAAUUCCAGGUGUAGCGGUGAAAUGCGUAGAUAUCUGGAGGAACACCGGUGGCGAAGGCGGCAUCCGGGACCGGUAUUGACGCUGAGGCGCGAAAGCCAGGGGAGCAAACGGG
rnacentral:rRNA from 1 species